CCUACGGGAGGCAGCAGUGGGGAAUAUUGGGCAAUGGGCGCAAGCCUGACCCAGCAACGCCGCGUGAAGGAAGAAGGCUCUCGGGUUGUAAACUUCUUUUGUCAGGGACGAAGUAAGUGACGGUACCUGAUGAAUAAGCCACUGCUAACUACGUGCCAGCGGCCGCGGUAAUACGUAGGUGGCAAGCGUUAUCCGGAUUUACUGGGUGUAAAGGGCGUGUAGGCGGGAAAGCAAGUCAGAUGUGAAAACCAUGGGCUCAACCUGUGGACUGCAUUUGAGACUGUGUUUCUUGAGUACUGGAGAGGCAGACGGAAUUCCUGGUGUAGCGGUGAAAUGCGUAGAUAUUAGGAGGAACAGCAGUGGCGAAGGCGGUCUGCUGGACAGCAACUGACGCUGAGGAGCGAAAGCGAGGGGAGCAAAUAGGAUUAGAUACCCGUGUAGUC
rnacentral:rRNA from 1 species